UUCACAGACAUAAAGUCAUUAGUGUCAUCUCGAAUAAUAAUCUAGCGACACAAUUAUCCUCCUGUGGAUGAACCGAUUAGGAACUCGUUAGAGGCACCUACAGCUAACACCAUCACACAUCAAAGGCGCCGUGUAACCAGGCGGACUAAGACCUCUUAUACGUAUAGGAGUAAUUGCAGACUAGAUACCCCAACAACGUUUCGUGACAAUAAACGAAGAGGAAUUACAAGAUAUUUUGAAGAAAAAAGACUUGUUGAACACCCGGAAAAAUACGUCAGAAACGGUUUAGAGGAAAACUACAGACACGUAUGCGAUUACAUAACAAGUUGAUAUAUGCAAAACAAGG